CGUUCGGCGUCGACGCUGCCGCCAGGAUCACGUGCUCCCUGCAAUCCGACAUCAGGGAGGUCGCAAGCAAGUGCGCCGACGCCGCCAAGAUGGCCGGCUUCGCCCUCGCAACCUCUGCCCUCCUCGUCUCUGUAAGCUGACUAAUCUAUUCUAUUGCCGUGCAUGGCCGUUUAUUCUAGUCCAGCUAGCUAGAGUGACUCGCGUGGGUGCAGGGCGCAAGUGCGGAGGGGGCGCCCAAGAGGCUGACCUUCGACGAAAUCCAGAGCAAGACCUACAUGGAGGUGAAGGGUACCGGCACCGCGAACCAGUGCCCGACCAUCGACGGCGGCGUCGACUCCUUCCCCUUCAAGGCCGGCAAGUACGAGAUGAAGAAGUUCUGCCUGGAGCCCACCUCCUUCACCGUCAAGGCCGAGGGCAUCCAGAAGAACGAGCCACCGGCCUUCCAGAAGACCAAGCUCAUGACCCGUCUCACUUACACCCUUGACGAGAUGGAAGGCCCGCUCGAGGUCGGCGCCGACGGCACCCUCAAGUUCGAGGAGAAGGACGGCAUCGACUACGCGGCCGUCACAGUGCAGCUCCCCGGAGGCGAGCGCGUGCCGUUCCUCUUCACCGUCAAGCAGCUCGUCGCCACCGGCAAGCCGGAGAGCUUCAGCGGGCCCUUCCUCGUGCCCAGCUACAGGGGUUCCUCUUUCCUCGACCCAAAGGGCCGUGGUGGCUCUACUGGCUACGACAACGCGGUGGCGCUGCCCGCCGGAGGCAGAGGAGACGAGGAGGAGCUGGCCAAGGAGAACGUGAAGAACGCGUCCUCCUCCACGGGCAACAUCACCCUCAGCGUGACCAAGAGCAAGCCGGAGACCGGCGAGGUGAUAGGCGUCUUCGAGAGCGUGCAGCCGUCAGACAC
rnacentral:lncRNA from 1 species